CCUACGGGUGGCAGCAGUGGGGAAUAUUGCGCAAUGGGCGAAAGCCUGACGCCGCGACGCCGCGUGAGGGAUGAAGGUCUUCGGAUCGUAAACCUCUGUCAGCAGGGAAGAACGGUCACUGUGCUAAUCAGCAGUGAAUUGACGGUACCUGCAAAGGAAGCACCGGCUAACUCCGUGCCAGCAGCCGCGGUAAUACGGAGGGUGCGAGCGUUAAUCGGAAUUACUGGGCGGAAAGCGCUCGUAGGCGGUAUGUCAAGUCAAGGGUGAAAGCCCCGCGCUCAACGUGUGAACUGCCUUUGAAACUGGCAAACUGGAGUGUGUGAGAGGAUAGUGGAAUGCCAGGUGUAGGAGUGAAAUCCGUAGAUAUCUGGAGGAACAUCAGUGGCGAAGGCGACUAUCUGGCACAUAACUGACGCUGAGGAGCGAAAGCGUGGGUAGCAAACAGGAUUAGAUACCCGGGUAGUC
rnacentral:rRNA from 1 species